AUGCUUUUUACUUUUCCAGAAAGACUGUGCUUAAUUGAGCCACCUUGCUUGUCACCAUUUGUCACCAAGAGAGAGCUGCCAGAUGUGAAGGAAGUAACUUAAGACAACAAGCCAAAUUGAAACUCUUAAUGAAGUGCUAGAUGAAAAUCUUAAGCUUAAACAUCAAGACUCAGAGUCAAAAACCCAAGUACAAUUUAAAAAACAAAAAAAAAUCCACGGAGGAAAGAAUCAGUACUAUUUUGGAGUACUCACAAUUUAGGUUAAAAUGUAAAAUUGCUAUAAAA